rnacentral:misc_RNA from 1 species
GAUGAAGAACGUAGCGAAAUGCGAUACUUGGUGUGAAUUGCAGAAUCCCGUGAACCAUCGAGUUUUUGAACGCAAGUUGCGCCCGAAGCCGUUAGGCCGAGGGCACGCCUGCCUGGGUGUCACACAUCGUUGCCCAAUGCCUAUUGCAGUGCAAUAGGAAUUUCUAGGGCGAAUGAUGGCUUCCCGUGAGCGUUGUUGCCUCGCGGUUGGUUGAAAAUCGAGUCCUUGGUAGGGUGUGCCAUGGUAGAUGGUGGUCGAGUUAGAACGAUACCGAUCAUGUGCAUGCUCCCCAAAAUAUGGCCUCUAUGACCCACACGCGUCUUUUGACGCUCAUGACGAGACCUCAGGUCAGGCGGGGCUACCCGCUGAAUUUAAGCAUAUCAAUAAGUGGAGGA